UAUUGUUUUGAUAACAUUUGUGAUUUUAGGAAUCAAAAUAUAAUUUUAUGUUCGUCAUGUUCAAAUAUUAAUUUAUUUUAGGUUAGGAAUAUAAUUUUUUAAUAUUCAAAAUAUAUAAAAUAUUUAACAUAAGAAUACAUUUUAUAUUUUACGAUAUUUCUAAUGAUGCUUUACCUUUAAUCUUAAAUUUAAUUUUGCAAUAAUAUGUAUUUGGAUCAAUAUUUUUAAUAAGAAUCGGAGAAACUGCUAUAAUAUUAAUCAUUAAAAUCAUAACUAAAUAUAAGAUAAACAUAAUUAUGAUACUAUUAUCAGUAGAAUUUGUUUAAUAUCUAUUGUUAAUAUGAUAAUAUCUAUUUAUUAAUAAAAUAUACUAAAUAUCAUGAUAGUAUAUAUAUUAAAAUACUGUUUAGAAAAUAAUAGUAUAUGCAUAUUGGUAGAAUUAGUUAAUAUUUGUUUAUUAAUUAUCUUAAAUUUCAUGAUAAAUAUAUACAUAUAUAAAUAAAAUAUUAAAUAAUAUUAAUUAAACUAAUGACUUAUCCUAAAAUUAUGGAGAAGAUGACAAAUCAACAAAUUUACUUCUAAAAUUUUACUAUAGAUAAGGAUUAUUAUUCUAAUAUUCCCACUUGAUUUUGCUUGCUUUUUUAAAGGCUUCUUAUUUUAAUCAAUGUUUAGAAUAAUAUUGCAAGUAAUCUUCAGUUAUUAAAUUAGUAUUAGUAUACUUCUUAAAACCAUAUACAUAAAUAUAUUACCUAUAGAAGAUGUUGAGAUCUAAUCAUAGUUAUUUGCAUAUUAAGUUUUUAAUUUGUACAUGUUGAUGAUUUACCUUUUGGUUCAACUUCUCUUGUUAUCCACAUUGAAGUUUUUUAAAAAAAAUUUCCUCUUAUUUGUUUUUGCCUUAACUUCAUUUGUUAUUGCCUUAACUUCAAAUUCAAAACCCUGGUGGACUUUACCAUAUAUAUAAUUUUCAAGGUAAGUUUAUAAUUUUACAGUUACAAAUAAGUAUAAUUUUAUCUUUACACAUUUUACCAAACUUAUUCAUUGAAUGUCUCUGUUACCAAAUCUCAACCCAUUAAAUAAUUUCCUAUUUUGGUAUUUGACAAAAAUAAUCAUGUAUUAGAGAUUUGACUAUUCCAUUUGUUAUAUAUACGCAUGUUCCCCUUUUAAUUAUUUUUAGACCAAGCAAAACAAACUUUAAUUAUCAAAAUAUUAUUCAAGCGAUGGCUUUGUCAAAGUCCCAACUUGCAACACUUCUCAUCUUAUGUUCUUUGCUAUUUGUUUCCCAAUCAAAAAUAUUGAAGAUAGAAGGAAAAGGCAACCCUCCUGACGAAUGUAAAUUUAGAGGUGGGUGCAAUACUAGCGAAGAGUGUAAAAUUCCAUGCGGACCGCCUCGUUUCCCACUGGGAACUAUUGGUUUAUGUGUGCGAGAUCCUUUUGCUCACUCUGCCGUACAUCUUUGUUGUUGUGCGCCUAAAAAUUCAUCAUAAUGAAUGUUGGUCGAAUAUCUAUAUUAUUUAUGAAUUUAAUGAGAUAAUAAGAAUAUUUUGGUUUUUACA